rnacentral:rRNA from 1 species
GACGAACGGUGCGAACGCUAUUCGGAUUCACUGGGCUUAAAGGGCGCGUAGGCGGGCUGUCAAGUCCGGGGUGAAAUCCCACGGCUCAACCGUGGAACUGCCUUAGAUACUGACGGCCUCGAGGAAGGUAGGGGCAUGCGGAACUGUAGGUGGAGCGGUGAAAUGCGUUGAUAUCUACAGGAACUCCGGUGGCGAAAGCGGCGUGCUGGACCUUUUCUGACGCUGAGGCGCGAAAGCUAGGGGAGCAAACGGG